UACGUAGGGGGGCAAGCGUUGUCCGGAAUCAUUGGGCGUAAAGAGCGCGUAGGCGGCCCUGUAAGUCCGCUGUGAAAGUCAAGGGCUCAACCCUUGGAUGCCGGUGGAUACUGCAGGGCUAGAGUCCGGAAGAGGCGAGUGGAAUUCCUGGUGUAGCCGGUGAAUGCGCAGAUAAUCAGGAAGAACACCGAUGGCGAAGGCAGAUCUCUGGGCCGUAACUGACGCUGAGGAGCGAAAGCAUGGGGAGCGAACAGG
rnacentral:rRNA from 1 species